rnacentral:rRNA from 1 species
UGAACGACUCUCGGCAACGGAUAUCUCGGCUCUUGCAUCGAUGAAGAACGUAGCGAAAUGCGAUACUUGGUGUGAAUUGCAGAAUCCCGUGAACCAUCGAGUCUUUGAACGCAAGUUGCGCCUGAAGCCAUUAGGCUGAAGGCACGUCUGCCUGGGCGUCACGCG